rnacentral:rRNA from 1 species
UACGUAGGAUGCAAGCGUUAUCCGGAUUCACUGGGUUUAAAGGGUGCGUAGGUGGAUUUGUAAGUCAAAGGUGAAAGCCUGCAGCCUAACUGCAGAAGUGCCUUUGAUACUGCAAGUCUUGAGUACAGUUGAGGUAGGCGGAAUGUGUAAUGUAGCGGUGAAAUGCUUAGAUAUUACACAGAACACCGAUUGCGAAGGCAGCUUACUAAACUGUUACUGACACUGAGGCACGAAAGCGUGGGGAUCAAACAGG